GCGCCUGUAGCUCAGUGGAUAGAGCACUGGUCUUCGGAACCAGGUGUCAGGGGUUCGAAUCCCUUCAGGCGUA
rnacentral:tRNA from 1 species